rnacentral:tRNA from 1 species
GGAGCCGUGCCCGAAUGCCCAAGGACCACUUUGAUAGAGUGACCUAUGGAGGAUAAAGCCCUCCCGACUCCU